rnacentral:piRNA from 1 species
UGACUGAAGUACCAAGACAUUCCUCAUGGAC